CCUACGGGAGGCAGCAGUGAGGAAUAUUGGUCAAUGGGCGAGAGCCUGAACCAGCCAAGUCGCGUGAGGGAGUACUGCCCUAUGGGUUGUAAACCUCUUUUGUCGGGGAGCAAAAGCCGGACGUGUCCGGCUGUGAGAGUACCCGCAGAAAAAGCAUCUGCUAACUCCGUGCCAGCAGCCGCGGUAUUACGGAGGAUGCGCGCGUUAUCCCGAUUUAUUGGGGUUAAAGGGAGCGUAGAUGGGUUGUUAAGUCAGUUGGGAAAGUUUGCGGCUCAACCGUAAAAUUGCAAUUGAUACUGGCAGCCUUGAGUACAGUUGAGGUAGGCGGAAUGCGUGGUGUAGCGGUGAAAUGCAUAGAUAUCACGAAGAACUCCGAUUGCGAAGGCAGCCUACUAAACUGCCACUGACAUUGAUGCUCGAAAGUGUGGGUAUCAAACAGGAUUAGAUACCCUGGUAGUC
rnacentral:rRNA from 1 species